rnacentral:rRNA from 1 species
AGUGGGGGACCUUCGGGCCACACACCAUCGGAUGUGCCCGGAUGGGAUUAGCUAGUAGGUGGGGUAAUGGCUCACCUAGGCGACGAUCCCUAGCUGGUCUGAGAGGAUGACCAGCCACACUGGAACUGAGACACGGUCCAGACUCCUACGGGAGUANGCAGUGGGGAAUAUUGCACAAUGGGCGCAAGCCUGAUGCAGCCAUGCCGCGUGUAUGAAGAAGGCCUUCGGGUUGUAAAGUACUUUCAGCGGGGAGGAAGGCGGUGAGGUUAAUAACCUUGCCGAUUGACGUUACCCGCAGAAGAAGCACCGGCUAACUCCGUGCCAGCAGCCGCGGUAAUACGGAGGGUGCAAGCGUUAAUCGGAAUUACUGGGCGUAAAGCGCACGCAGGCGGUCUGUUAAGUCAGAUGUGAAAUCCCCGGGCUUAACCUGGGAACUGCAUUUGAAACUGGCAGGCUUGAGUCUCGUAGAGGGGGGUA